rnacentral:rRNA from 1 species
CGAACGCUGGCGGCGUGCUUAACACAUGCAAGUCGAACGGAAAGGCCCUGCUUUUGUGGGGUGCUCGAGUGGCGAACGGGUGAGUAACACGUUAGUAACCUGCCCUUGACUUUGGGAUAACUUCAGGAAACUGGGGCUAAUACCGGAUAGGAGCUCCUGCUGCAUGGUGGGGGUUGGAAAGUUUCGGCGGUUGGGGAUGGACUCGCGGCUUAUCAGCUUGUUGGUGGGGUAGUGGCUUACCAAGGCUUUGACGGGUAGCCGGCCUGAGAGGGUGACCAGCCACAUUGGGACUGAGAUACGGCCCAGACUCCUACGGGAGGCAGCAGUGGGGAAUAUUGCACAAUGGGCGGAAGCCUGAUGCAGCAACGCCGCGUGCGGGAUGACGGCCUUCGGGUUGUAAACCGCUUUCGCCUGUGACGAAGCGUGAGUGACGGUAAUGGGUAAAGAAGCACCGGCUAACUACGUG